rnacentral:rRNA from 1 species
GACGAACGCUGGCGGCGUGCUUAACACAUGCAAGUCGAACGGAAAGGCCCUGCUUUUGGGGGGUGCUCGAGUGGCGAACGGGUGAGUAACACGUGAGUAACCUGCCCUUGACUUUGGGAUAACUUCAGGAAACUGGGGCUAAUACCGGAUAGGAGCUCCUGCUGCAUGGUGGGGGUUGGAAAGUUUCGGCGGUUGGGGAUGGACUCGCGGCUUAUCAGCUUGUUGGUGGGGUAGUGGCUUACCAAGGCUUUGACGGGUAGCCGGCCUGAGAGGGUGACCGGCCACAUUGGGACUGAGAUACGGCCCAGACUCCUACGGGAGGCAGCAGUGGGGAAUAUUGCACAAUGGGCGGGAGCCUGAUGCAGCAACGCCGCGUGCGGGAUGACGGCCUUCGGGUUGUAAACCGCUUUCGCCUGUGACGAAGCGUGAGUGACGGUAAUGGGUAAAGAAGCACCGGCUAACUACGUG